rnacentral:rRNA from 1 species
AUUGAACGCUAGCGGGAUGCUUUACACAUGCCAGUCGAACGGCAGCGCGGACUUCGGUCUGGCGGCGAGUGGCGAACGGGUGAGUAAUGUAUCGGAACGUGCCCAGUAGCGGGGGAUAACUACGCGAAAGCGUAGCUAAUACAGCAUACGCUCUACGGGGGAAAGCAGGGGAUCGUAAGACCUUGCACUAUUGGAGCCGCCGAUAUCGGAUUAGCUAGUUGGUGAGGUAACGGCUCACCAAGGCGAUCAUCCGUAGCUGGUUUGAGAGGACGACCAGCCACACUGGGACUAGGACACGGCCCAGACUCCUACGGGAGGCGGCAGUGGGGAAUUUUGGACAAUGGGGGCAGCCCUGCUCCAGCCAUCCCGCGUGGGCGAUGAAGGCCUUCGGGUUGUAAAGCACUUUUGGCAGGAAAGAAACGGCGCGGGCUAAUACCCCGUGGAACUGACGGUACCUGCAGAAUAAGCACCGGCUAACUACGUG